rnacentral:rRNA from 1 species
UACGUAGGGUGCGAGCGUUGUCCGGAAUUAUUGGGCGUAAGGGGCUCGUAGGCGGUUUGUCGCGUCGGGAGUGAAAAUCCAGGGCUUAACUCUGGACUGGCUUCCGAUACGGGCAGACUAGAGGUAUGCAGGGGAGAACGGAAUUCCUGGUGUAGCGGUGAAAUGCGCAGAUAUCAGGAGGAACACCGAUGGCGAAGGCAGUGCUCUGGGCCAACACUGACGCUGAGGAGCGAAAGCGUGGGUAGCAAACAGG